rnacentral:rRNA from 1 species
CUUAAGUGGGGAAUAACGCAUCGAAAGGUGUGCUAAUACCGCAUAAUCUCUGAGGAGAAAAGCAGGGGAUCGCAAGACCUUGCGCUUUUGGAGCGGCCGAUGUCUGAUUAGCUUGUUGGUGAGGUAAAAGCUUACCAAGGCUUCGAUCAGUAGCUGGUCUGAGAGGACGACCAGCCACACUGGGACUGAGACACGGCCCAGACUCCUACGGGAGGCAGCAGUGGGGAAUUUUGGACGAUGGGGGCAACCCUGAUCCAGCCAUGCCGCGUGAGUGAAGAAGGCCUUCGGGUUGUAAAGCUCUUUCAGCCGGAACGAAACGGUUACGGUUAAUACCCGUGACUACUGACGGUACCGGAAGAAGAAGCACCGGCUAACUACGUGCCAGCAGCCGCGGUAAUACGUAGGGUGCGAGCGUUAAUCGGGAUUACUGGGCGUAAAGCGUGCGCAGGCGGUUUUGUAAGUCAGAUGUGAAAUCCCCGGGCUUAACCUGGGAACUGCGUUUGAAACUACAAAGCUAG